rnacentral:rRNA from 1 species
UACAGAGGUCUCAAGCGUUGUUCGGAUUCAUUUGGGCGUAAAGGGUGCGUAGGUGGCGCGGUAAGUCGGGUGUGAAAUCUCGGAGCUUAACUCCGAAAUUGCAUUCGAUACUGCCGUGCUUGAGGACUGGAGAGGAGACUGGAAUUCAUGGUGUAGCAGUGAAAUGCGUAGAGAUCAUGAGGAAGACCAGUGGCGAAGGCGGGUCUCUGGACAGUUCCUGACACUGAGGCAACGAAGGCCAGGGGAGCAAACGGG